AAUAAAUCUUCUCAGAAAUCGAAAAUUGCUGCUGAAUACGUUUUACAGAGCUUUGAAACAAAGAGUGAAGUAAACGGACGGGGCUGGGAUCUUCUUUUCUCCCUUCUCCAGACUCCUCUUGCAUCAUCAACAUCAUUGCUCAUUAAAGAGAAAUAGGAUAUCGCCAAGAUGUGAAAAGACCAAAGCCCAGAGGACUGAAGAAAGAUUGGAAUCUGUUGAGAUUUAUGGAAAUCUUACCUGAACCCAGAUUCACAGCAGUGUGACUGACUCCUAACUGUCCUUCGAAAUGGCUUAGCAAGACAUCAUUAGCCAAGAAGAUGGCUGACUAUCACCUAGUCCACGGCAAUUAAAGAUGGCAAAAUGCUGGUUUUCCUAGUGAUGCCCA